GGGGUCUGUAUAAAGCUCAGGAGCUGAGACCAGAGAGGAACUGUAGAGAGGUAGUCUGUAGUUGCUUCCUAGGAGAAAGGAGGUGUGUUUGGGGGUUACAGAGCUAGGUAGCCUACAGUUACUCCCUGAGAGGAGGGAGUUUGUGCUGGUAAUCCCUGAGAUGGGGGAGACCCAGAAAGGUAGGAAGGCUCAGGGGCAAAGCAGCAAAGUAUAGAAUAGGGCAAACCUUGGCUUCUGAUGAGAGGGCCCCUGAUCUAGAACCUGGAGUAGGAGGUGGGCCCAGGUUCCCCUACCAGCCACUGUAGACCAGACAGUAAAUUGCCUGAAACAAUUUGCCUUGAAGAGACUUUGAUACCCCAGAAGGGGAGAACCAUAGUGACCUUGCUGGAGGACUAAUCUGCAAACAGAAAGUCACAGCUCCUGGAGUCAGAGGGGCUGCAACAUCAGAGAAGACAAGUGAAGAGACCGCCAGAGGCGGGUGCUGCACCUGGAAAGAGCUAAUCUCCUGAGCAGCUGGGAGCAGGCAUCCCUAGCGAUAACCACAUCACUCUGUGCCAGUGAGGAGCUGUUUUGUUGGAGUCAAAAACUUGUUCUUAUGAACAGUAGCAAUAUACAUACACAUGGAUUGUGCACGUCUCUCCUCCACCCACACCCCAAGUGAAAGGGCAGCACGCGCCCCACCCCAUCCAAAAGCAAAGAUCAGACUGCACCCCCGAGCCUUUGUACUGAAGCCUGGGACAGCAUUCCUGCGUCAACAGGUUGCGCGGCAGCGGCAGCAGCGUCUCCCCCAGCUGAGACCGCCUCUGCAUUGCCGGUCUCCCAGAGCAGGUGAAGUUUCCCGUGCACUACACCUUACCUUGAGGGGGACGUUUCUUCGCUCUCUUUCGCAUUACUCCCGGCCACGGCAUUGUUGCCACUGGGGUGGUAUGCAGUUAAAACCACGCCUGGGGAAGCAGACAGCCAGUUCAUGGUGCGAGUAGCAGCAUAAUUUGCCAAGAUACUAAGGCAAAGAAGGGUAAUGAAGUUCCUGCCAGCGCCUCGCUUGGCAACUCAGCUCAUUAGCAUCCCCCAGCUCCUCCUCUGAAGAUCCGCGUUUGCAAAACAGAGGAGGAAGGAGGGGAGGAGUUAUUUAUGUGAAAUGCUUCCUGUCUCUCCAAUUAGACUCUGAUUCAUGAGUAUUGUGAAACAAGGCGAUUUCUUGCUCCUUUGCAGUGUUUUACUAUAAUCUUGAACAUUUAAAUAGGGUAUAUUCAACUAGUCAGUACAAGUGUAGAAAGAAACUUAUUCACUAGACAAUACUAGGUCCCAGGAAAAGAUAGUUUUGUUUUCCAAUUCCUGUUUCCAGAUGGUUUUUGUUUUUUUAUCCCCCCUGGUCACUGCAACAUGAGUUGCCACUACCCUUAACCCCUUGCUGCGAGGAUUCAGGACUUCCAGAAUACACACAGCUAAGGCAAAUAUGAGUACAGCAGAGAAGAGCUGAUAUAACCAGAUUCAUAUAGAUCUCCCAGCUCAGACUGUACUCAUAAUGAUUACCCAGCUUAGCUUUCUAAAAUACAGCAAAUUCUUUUUUGUCAGUUUUGAACCAUUAAGAAACUUACAGGCAGCCUAUCAAGCCAGUCUCUCCCUUCUUCCCCCCCACCACCCUUCCACUGCAAAUAAGCACUGGACAUAUAAAAUACUACAUUCUAUUUUUGGUAUUUUAUAUGAUGGUAGUCAGGAUCUGGGUCCCAUUGUGGUAGGUGCUGUGGAAACUCCAAAAUUGACAACGUUCCUGCUCUACAAUCUCAGGCCCUGAUCCUGCAUGCUUUUUUUUUUUUUUCUUUUUACUCCUGUGACAACUCCCACUGACUUCAACUUGACUACUUGUGUGAGUAUAGUUAUAUACACAUAGGGGUGUAGCAGGAUCAGGGUUAACUUAUGACAGGGCACAACUAAUUACUGUGACAAACAAAGAGUAGGAAAAGGGAGAGAGGGAGGAAGAGGGUAACAAUAAUAAUUUCCAUAGGAUAGCAAUAUUUGUAAAUCAAAGGUUCUGAAUCAGUUGAUUUCCAUAAAAUGAGUAUAUAAGAGCAAUCUCCACUAGCGUUUCAUGUAAGAUGGCUUUAAAAAGCCUUAAUGCAAUAUUACUAGUUUAGAAUUAAAAGGAUACAGUCAACUGAAAAAUCAGACUUCAGCCUGAAAAUUUUUUACUUAUUACAAGUGAUAGCCUCAGUGCUAUAACUAGAAGAUGAGAAGAAAAAUGUGUUUUUCUUCUAUUGGCUUAUUUUAUGCACCAGACAGCACUCAGUGCACAGUCUGUGUCACUGAAUCACUAUAGACAAUUUCCCUUGUUAGCAUUUUUCACAUGAGUAUUUAUUAGAAAAAAUAGUUGUAACUGGCAGUGGGAAGUAAUGGCAGGCGCAUUGUCCCCAGCAUGAUGGAGCAGCCCUGAGGCUUUUCAGACUUGCACCUAGCUGCCAAUAGCUCCAAGGCAACAUUUUGACAAUCAGGCACUAAUUGGGGUAGCCAGAGUGCAGGAGGUGCCUGGUCAGGCCUCUUUCUCAUAGACAUACCACCUGCAUGGAGGGUUGGGUGGGGAGGUGCUGUGUCCCCAUACCAUCCAUAAAUUCUCAAGAGUCCAGAUCUAUGGGCUUUCCAGUUGCUUUGUGUUGGCAUAUCAGAGUCAAAGCAAAGGUUCUGUCCCAGUGCAUUCAAAGCUAUGAUUUUCACAAUCAUAAUGAGUCCCUUUCUGUACAUGUAUACAAGUACUUACACCAUAAACCUCUGUAUCUAAAUUAUUAUUCUGUGUACCAUAAAUGAAUUUCUUGAUUUCUGCAUAUUGUAAUUUUAGACUGUUUCCUUUUACUUUUUUUUAAAUAAACAAAGAUUACACACAGAAAUAAAAGCUGCUAUGCACA